rnacentral:pre_miRNA from 1 species
CACCUCCGCAGGCUGGCCGCCCCCCAGGCUGGGCUGGGCGAGUAUCUUUUCGAAAGGCUCACCCUCAAGUAGGACUAGGAGC